rnacentral:rRNA from 1 species
UACGGAGGGUGCAAGCGUUAUCCGGAUUUACUGGGUUUAAAGGGUGCGUAGGUGGGUCUGUAAGUCAGUGGUGAAAUCUCCGAGCUUAACUCGGAAACUGCCAUUGAUACUAUAGGUCUUGAAUUAUCUGGAGGUAAGCGGAAUAUGUCAUGUAGCGGUGAAAUGCUUAGAUAUGACAUAGAACACCAAUUGCGUAGGCAGCUUACUACGGAUAUAUUGACACUGAGGCACGAAAGCGUGGGGAUCAAACAGG